UGAAAUAAAAGAAAAGAAAAUAAAAAUAAAUUAAAAUGAAAUAAGGCGCCAAUGGCUACCAGGUUCAAACAAAUGCGCUGUAAGGCUGUGAUUGGUUGAAAUUCAAAAUUGGCACCAAAAUGCGUGCAACCUCACUUCAUCUUCUAUCUUGGAUCCAAUUUCUAUAAUUCAUGAACUCCUUUUUUUAGCAACACCCAAGCAUGGCAUUAGCUUCGUAACACUUCAUCGUUCAUG
rnacentral:lncRNA from 1 species